UACCAGCACACUUUGCGUGGUUAGUGCUACUACAGAUGAAACUUUAUCUGUGGAGGUUUAAUAUUUAAAGACAGUGGAGAGUUUGGUUCCACGCUCAUGGAACUGGAUCAAAUCUUGCUUGUUCUCACGGUCAGGACACAGGUUCCCAAAAUGAUGCACAGAAAGUAACUUCUCGGAUCUGGUUGGCGAACAGCUGAUCCUGGGUCCUUCAUACUAACCUUUCUGGGAAAGAAAGUAGGGCGACAGCACUCUGUGGCCCCCGCAGGCAAGAAAUGUGCCUGGGAGGGAAACAACCCAUUCACCUGCCCAGAAGAUCGCACAGUGUCUUCCAACCCUGGAAUGGUCCCAGUGGCGACACACGACCUGGAUCUACCAGGAAGCGUUGCGCCAUUUAUGGAUGAGUGCUCAUAUCAAGAAGCCAGAGUGGGCACAACACACCAAGUCUGAUAUGCAAACUGCUCAUCGUCACUUUAAAUUAACUCAUAAACCCAAAAAGAAUUAAAUAUGAAUGAAAACGA